rnacentral:rRNA from 1 species
GGUUAAGCGACUAAGCGUACACGGUGGAUGCCCUGGCAGUCAGAGGCGAUGAAGGACGUGCUAAUCUGCGAUAAGCGUCGGUGAGGUGAUAUGAACCGUUAUAACCGGCGAUUUCCGAAUGGGGAAACCCAGUGUGUUUCGACACACUAUCAUUAACUGAAUCCAUAGGUUAAUGAGGCGAACCGGGGGAACUGAAACAUCUAAGUACCCCGAGGAAAAGAAAUCAACCGAGAUUCCCCCAGUAGCGGCGAGCGAACGGGGAGGAGCCCAGAGCCUGAAUCAGUGUGUGUGUUAGUGGAAGCGUCUGGAAAGGCGCGCGAUACAGGGUGACAGCCCCGUACACAAAAAUGCACAUGCUGUGAGCUCGAUGAGUAGGGCGGGACACGUGGUAUCCUGUCUGAAUAUGGGGGGACCAUCCUCCAAGGCUAAAUACUCCUGACUGACCGAUAGUGAACCAGUACCGUGAGGGAAAGGCGAAAAGAACCCCGGCGAGGGGAGUGAAAAAGAACCUGAAACCGUGUACGUACAAGCAGUGGGAGCCUCUUAAUGGGGUGACUGCGUACCUUUUGUAUAAUGGGUCAGCGACUUAUAUUCUGUAGCAAGGUUAACCGAAUAGGGAGCCGAAGGGAAACCGAGUCUUAACUGGGCGUUAAGUUGCAGGGUAUAGACCCGAAACCCGGUGAUCUAGCCAUGGGCAGGUUGAAGGUUGGGUAACACUAACUGGAGGACCGAACCGACUAAUGUUGAAAAAUUAGCGGAUGACUUGUGGCUGGGGGUGAAAGGCCAAUCAAACCGGGAGAUAGCUGGUUCUCCCCGAAAGCUAUUUAGGUAGCGCCUCGUGAAUUCAUCUCCGGGGGUAGAGCACUGUUUCGGCAAGGGGGUCAUCCCGACUUACCAACCCGAUGCAAACUGCGAAUACCGGAGAAUGUUAUCACGGGAGACACACGGCGGGUGCUAACGUCCGUCGUGAAGAGGGAAACAACCCAGACCGCCAGCUAAGGUCCCAAAGUCAUGGUUAAGUGGGAAACGAUGUGGGAAGGCCCAGACAGCCAGGAUGUUGGCUUAGAAGCAGCCAUCAUUUAAAGAAAGCGUAAUAGCUCACUGGUCGAGUCGGCCUGCGCGGAAGAUGUAACGGGGCUAAACCAUGCACCGAAGCUGCGGCAGCGACACUAUGUGUUGUUGGGUAGGGGAGCGUUCUGUAAGCCUGUGAAGGUGGCCUGUGAGGGUUGCUGGAGGUAUCAGAAGUGCGAAUGCUGACAUAAGUAACGAUAAAGCGGGUGAAAAGCCCGCUCGCCGGAAGACCAAGGGUUCCUGUCCAACGUUAAUCGGGGCAGGGUGAGUCGACCCCUAAGGCGAGGCCGAAAGGCGUAGUCGAUGGGAAACAGGUUAAUAUUCCUGUACUUGGUGUUACUGCGAAGGGGGGACGGAGAAGGCUAUGUUGGCCGGGCGACGGUUGUCCCGGUUUAAGCGUGUAGGCUGGUUUUCCAGGCAAAUCCGGAAAACCAAGGCUGAGGCGUGAUGACGAGGCACUACGGUGCUGAAGUGACAAAUGCCCUGCUUCCGGGAAAAGCCUCUAAGCAUCAGGUAACAUCAAAUCGUACCCCAAACCGACACAGGUGGUCAGGUAGAGAAUACCAAGGCGCUUGAGAGAACUCGGGUGAAGGAACUAGGCAAAAUGGUGCCGUAACUUCGGGAGAAGGCACGCUGAUAUGUAGGUGAAGCGACUUGCUCGUGGAGCUGAAAUCAGUCGAAGAUACCAGCUGGCUGCAACUGUUUAUUAAAAACACAGCACUGUGCAAACACGAAAGUGGACGUAUACGGUGUGACGCCUGCCCGGUGCCGGAAGGUUAAUUGAUGGGGUUAGCGGUAACGCGAAGCUCUUGAUCGAAGCCCCGGUAAACGGCGGCCGUAACUAUAACGGUCCUAAGGUAGCGAAAUUCCUUGUCGGGUAAGUUCCGACCUGCACGAAUGGCGUAAUGAUGGCCAGGCUGUCUCCACCCGAGACUCAGUGAAAUUGAACUCGCUGUGAAGAUGCAGUGUACCCGCGGCAAGACGGAAAGACCCCGUGAACCUUUACUAUAGCUUGACACUGAACAUUGAGCCUUGAUGUGUAGGAUAGGUGGGAGGCUUUGAAGUGUGGACGCCAGUCUGCAUGGAGCCGACCUUGAAAUACCACCCUUUAAUGUUUGAUGUUCUAACGUUGGCCCCUAAUCGGGGUUGCGGACAGUGUCUGGUGGGUAGUUUGACUGGGGCGGUCUCCUCCUAAAGAGUAACGGAGGAGCACGAAGGUUGGCUAAUCCUGGUCGGACAUCAGGAGGUUAGUGCAAUGGCAUAAGCCAGCUUGACUGCGAGCGUGACGGCGCGAGCAGGUGCGAAAGCAGGUCAUAGUGAUCCGGUGGUUCUGAAUGGAAGGGCCAUCGCUCAACGGAUAAAAGGUACUCCGGGGAUAACAGGCUGAUACCGCCCAAGAGUUCAUAUCGACGGCGGUGUUUGGCACCUCGAUGUCGGCUCAUCACAUCCUGGGGCUGAAGUAGGUCCCAAGGGUAUGGCUGUUCGCCAUUUAAAGUGGUACGCGAGCUGGGUUUAGAACGUCGUGAGACAGUUCGGUCCCUAUCUGCCGUGGGCGCUGGAGAACUGAGGGGGGCUGCUCCUAGUACGAGAGGACCGGAGUGGACGCAUCACUGGUGUUCGGGUUGUCAUGCCAAUGGCACUGCCCGGUAGCUAAAUGCGGAAGAGAUAAGUGCUGAAAGCAUCUAAGCACGAAACUUGCCCCGAGAUGAGUUCUCCCUGAGACUUAGAGUCUCCUGAAGGAACGUUGAAGACGACGACGUUGAUAGGCCGGGUGUGUAAGCGCAGCGAUGCGUUGAGCUAACCGGUACUAAUGAACCGUGAGGCUUAACCUU